rnacentral:tRNA from 1 species
UCGGGCUCAUAACCCGAAGGUCGUAGGUUCAAAUCCUGCUCCC